rnacentral:rRNA from 1 species
UACGUAGGGUGCGAGCGUUAAUCGGAAUUACUGGGCGUAAAGCGUGCGCAGGCGGUUUUGUAAGACAGAUGUGAAAUCCCCGGGCUCAACCUGGGAACUGCGUUUUGUGACUGCAAGACUUGAGUAUGGCAGAGGGGGGGUAGAAUUCCACGUGUAGCAGUGAAAUGCGUAGAGAUGUGGAGGAAUACCGAUGGCGAAGGCAGCCCCCUGGGUCAAUACUGA